ensembl:lncRNA
CUCUCAUCUGCUGCUCAGGUAACACACCUUCACUCUCACUGUGUGUCUGAGCAUCUCCGCAUGUGCUGCUUUUUGACUGUUUGAGUGUUUAACCUCAUGUGAAUGAAUGACCCACGAUGCCUCUGGCCGGAGACGAGCUGGUCUGCCCCAAGUUCCAGCCCAACAUCUUCGACUCCACCCGCUGCCACGACUGCUUGCGCCAGAAACAGCUGCACCACACCUGUGCCGAGCGCGCUCCCGAGCAGAGCGUCUCCGUGGCCGUGCGCAGCGACGACAAGGACACCAGCGCCAAGGAUGACUCAGAUGUGCUGUCAGUGGUGAGUAGCUACUGUGAUGUCAGCAGAGGGGGGCAGGGCUUUGAGGACGGCUCCAUCUGCAUCUUGAGUCCGGACUGUGACCUCUACCUGUGUGACGGAGACGACGACCAAAGCUCGGACAGUCAGGGUGACGAUUCCAUCUACAGUAGCUCUACUGGAACAGAGGAAUACUCCAGCCUCCUUCAUCAUCCUUCAUCUUGCCAUAGAAUGACCCGCUUGGAUCAGCCACCAUACCGGGCGAGCCCCCGAGGAUGGACGGAGAUGUCCCAGAGUCGCCGUGAUGGUCUUGGGCAGUUCGGUGUUUCUCACGGCAGCCAGAAGGAACGGAGGGAACGGGAGAGUGGAUAUUUCUCUCUGGGAAGGGCUGCAGGCAGCAGAGCUUUACUUGAUCAAAGCCCUCCCUAUAGGCAUUCAGAGAGAGGACAUCCCCUGCCAAGCAACAAAAGCCCUGAACCCAAAGCCAC